GCCACACUGGAACUGAGACACGGUCCAGACUCCUACGGGAGGCAGCAGUGGGGAAUCUUCCGCAAUGGACGAAAGUCUGACGGAGCAACGCCGCGUGAGUGAUGACGGCCUUCGGGUUGUAAAGCUCUGUGAUCGGGGACGAAUGGCUGGUAUGCUAAUACCAUAUCAGAGGACGGUACCCGAAUAGCAAGCCACGGCUAACUA
rnacentral:rRNA from 1 species